GGCGCACGGGUGAGUAAUACGUGGACAAUCUGCCUUGGAGUUCGGGAUAACCCGUCGAAAGACGGGCUAAUACCGGAUAAGACCACGGGGAGUUCGCUCCCUGAGGGAAAAGAUGGCCUCUGCUCCUGCAAGCUAUCACUCCAUGAGGGGUCCGCGUCCUAUCAGCUGGUUGGUGAGGUAACGGCUCACCAAGGCUAAGACGGGUAGCUGGUCUGAGAGGAUGGUCAGCCAGACUGGGACUGAGACAGGUCAAGNAGCUCAUACGGGAUGCAGCAGUCAGGAAUAUUGCGCAAUGGAGGAAACUCUGACGCAGCGACGCCGCGUGGGUGAUGAAGGCCUUCGGGUCGUAAAGCCCUGUCGGAGGGAAAGAAAGCUCGUUGGCUAAUAUCCAGCGAGCCCUUGACGGUACCCUCAAAGGAAGCACCGGCUAACUCCGUGCCAGCAGCCGCGG
rnacentral:rRNA from 1 species